rnacentral:rRNA from 1 species
GACGAACGCUGGCGGCGUGCCUAAUACAUGCAAGUCGAGCGCAGGAAACUGACGGAACUCUUCGGAGGGAAGGCAGUGGAAUGAGCGGCGGACGGGUGAGUAACACGUAAGGAACCUGCCUCAAGGAUUGGGAUAACUCCGAGAAAUCGGAGCUAAUACCGGAUAGUUCAACGGACCGCAUGGUCCGCUGAUGAAAGGCGCUCCGGCGUCACCUUGAGAUGGCCUUGCGGUGCAUUAGCUAGUUGGUGGGGUAACGGCCCACCAAGGCGACGAUGCAUAGCCGACCUGAGAGGGUGAUCGGCCACACUGGGACUGAGACACGGCCCAGACUCCUACGGGAGGCAGCAGUAGGGAAUCUUCCACAAUGGACGAAAGUCUGACGGAGCGACACCGCGUGGAGGACGAAGGCCUUCGGGUUGUAAACUCCCUUUCCAGGGAAAGAAUAAGGGUAAGAGGAAAUGCUUAUCCGAUGACGGUACUCUGGGAAUAAGCCACGGCUAACUCUGUGCCAGCAGCCGCCGUAACAC